rnacentral:rRNA from 1 species
GUUUUGAUCCUGGCUCAGGAUGNACGCUGGCGGCGUGCCUAAUACAUGCAAGUCGAGCGAACAGAUGAGGAGCUUGCUCCUCUGAUGUUAGCGGCGGACGGGUGAGUAACACGUGGGUAACCUACCUAUAAGACUGGAAUAACUCCGGGAAACCGGGGCUAAUGCCGGAUAAUAUGCAGAACCGCAUGGUUCUGCAAUGAAAGACGGUCUUGCUGUCACUUAUAGAUGGACCCGCGCCGUAUUAGCUAGUUGGUAAGGUAACGGCUUACCAAGGCAACGAUACGUAGCCGACCUGAGAGGGUGAUCGGCCACACUGGAACUGAGACACGGUCCAGACUCCUACGGGAGGCAGCAGUAGGGAAUCUUCCGCAAUGGGCGAAAGCCUGACGGAGCAACGCCGCGUGAGUGAUGAAGGUACUUCGGAUCGUAAAACUCUGUUAUUAGGGAAGAACAAGUGCGUAGGUAAGCUAUGCGACAUCCUUGACGGUACCNAANCAGAAAGGGCACGGCCUAAAAAA